rnacentral:tRNA from 2 species
GCGCCGCUAGCUGAGUGGCUUAGCACCGGACUCUUAAUCCGGGGAGCGGAGUUCGAUCCUCCGGCGGCGUACCA